UUAGGUGGUUAUAGCGACAAGGUUCCACCUCUUCCCAUUCCGAACAGAGAAGUUAAGCUUGUCCGCGCCGAUGGUACUGCGUCAAGUGGGAGAGUAGGUCGCCGCCGAAU
rnacentral:rRNA from 1 species